rnacentral:sRNA from 1 species
CGGUGUAAUUUGGAGC